AUUUAAAUAAUUUAUAGUAAAAUAUUGAUUUGUGGAAUCAAAAAUAUGAAAUAAUUAAUUCAUUUUAAAUU
rnacentral:tRNA from 1 species